rnacentral:rRNA from 1 species
UACAGAGGGGGCGAGCGUUGUUCGGAAUUACUGGGCGUAAAGGGCGCGUAGGCGGCCAACUAAGUCAGACGUGAAAUCCCAAGGCUCAACCUUGGAACUGCGUCUGAUACUGGAUGGCUUGAAUCCGGGAGAGGGAUGUGGAAUUCCAGGUGUAGCGGUGAAAUGCGUAGAUAUCUGGAGGAACACCGGUGGCGAAGGCGGCAUCCUGGACCGGUAUUGACGCUGAGGCGCGAAAGCCAGGGGAGCAAACGGG